GUAGGUGGCAAGCGUUGUCCGGAAUUAUUGGGCGUAAAGCGCGCGCAGGCGGUUCUUUAAGUCUGAUGUGAAAUCCCACGGCUCAACCGUGGAGGGUCAUUGGAAACUGGAGAACUUGAGUACAGAAGAGGAAAGCGGAAUUCCACGUGUAGCGGUGAAAUGCGUAGAGAUGUGGAGGAACACCAGUGGCGAAGGCGGCUUUCUGGUCUGUAACUGACGCUGAGGCGCGAAAGCGUGGGGAGCAAACAGGAUUAGAUACCCUGGUAGUCCACGCCGUAAACGAUGAGUGCUAAGUGUUAGGGGGUUUCCGCCCCCCUUAGUGCUGCAGCUAACGCAUUAAGCACUCCGCCUGGGAGUACGGCCGCAAGGCUG
rnacentral:rRNA from 1 species